UACGUAGGGGGCAAGCGUUGUCCGGAUUUAUUGGGCGUAAAGAGCGUGUAGGCGGCUUUACAGGUCCGUUGUGAAAACUCGAGGCUCAACCUCGAGACGCCGGUGGAAACCGUAAAGCUAGAGUCCGGAAGAGGAGAGUGGAAUUCCUGGUGUAGCGGUGAAAUGCGCAGAUAUCAGGAAGAACACCCGUGGCGAAGGCGGAUCUCUGGGACGGUACUGACGCUGAGACGCGAAAGCGUGGGGAGCGAACAGG
rnacentral:rRNA from 1 species